rnacentral:rRNA from 1 species
GACGAACGCUGGCGGUGUGCCUAACACAUGCAAGUCGAACGGUAAGGCCCUUUCGGGGGUACACGAGUGUCGAAGGGGUGCGUAACACUUGAGUAACCUUCCCUCAUCUCUGGGAUAACAGUCGGAAACGGUUGCUAAUACUGAUUAUGAACCAUCAAUGCAACUUCAUGGUUGGAAAGAUUUGUUGGUUUGGGCUGGACUUGCUGGCUAUCAGCUUGUUGGUGAGGUAGUGGCUUACCAAGGCUUCGACGGGUAGCCGGCCUGAGGGGGCGACCGGCCACACAGAGACUGAGAGGCGGCAGAAACAGCUACGGGAGGGAGAAGUGGGGAAGAUUGAAGAAUGGACGGAGGUCUGGUGCAGAAACGCUGCGUGCGGGAUGACGCCGUUAGGGUUGUAGACCGAUUUCAAUAGUGACGAAGCUUUUUGUGACGGUAGCAGUAGAAGAAGCACCGGCUAACUACGUG